GUGAAUGAAGCGCCGCGGAGCAGCCCUGCCGGGGUCCCCGCGAGCCGCGUCCCGCUGUGCCCAGGCGCCUCCGCAGCGGCGUCCGCGUCCGCGUCAGCGGGGGGCGCGCACGGUUACCCCGGGCAGCCCCGGCCGCCAGCGGCAGCCCCGUCGCCUCGGCCGCGCUAGCGGGCUGAGGGCACCUGGGGGCGGGCUGGGGGCGCCGGCCGCGGCAGGAGGCGCUGUAGCGAGGGCUGCGGCGCGGGUUCCGCGGCGGCGGCGGCGGCGGGAGGGAGCGGGGCAGGCGCCGUGGGCCGGGCCCCUCCUCCGGCUCCUGCGCGGCCGGCGCCCGCCGUCCCCGCAGCGCCGCUCUGCGCCCGCCGCCCCGAGCGCCCGAGCGGGGCUGACGAGAGCCUCGGCGGGCGCGCGGGCGGGCGCGCGGGGCCAUGGUCGUGGCCCCCUGACGGGCCGCGGCCGCCUCCAUGAAGCGGAAGAGCGAGCGGCGGUCGACCUGGGCCGCCGCGCCCCCCUGCUCGCGGCGGGGCUCGUCGACCUCGCCGGGCGUGAAGAAGAGCCGCAGUUCCGCGCCUCAGGACCCGCGCCGCCUGGACCCCGAGGACGACGUGUACCUGGACAUCACCGAUCGCCUUUGUUUUGCCAUUCUCUACAGCAGACCAAAGAGUGCAUCAAAUGUACAUUAUUUCAGCAUAGAUAAUGAACUUGAAUAUGAGAACUUCUACGCAGAUUUUGGACCACUCAAUCUGGCAAUGGUUUACAGAUAUUGUUGCAAGAUAAAUAAGAAAUUGAAGUCCAUUACAAUGUUAAGGAAGAAAAUUGUUCAUUUUACCAGCUCUGAUCAGAGAAAGCAAGCAAAUGCUGCCUUCCUUGUUGGAUGCUACAUGGUUAUAUAUUUGGGAAGAACUCCAGAAGAAGCAUAUAGAAUAUUAAUCUUUGGAGAUACAUCCUAUAUUCCUUUCAGAGAUGCUGCCUAUGGAAGCUGCAAUUUCUACAUUACGCUUCUUGACUGUUUUCAUGCAGUAAAGAAGGCAAUGCAGUAUGGCUUCCUUAAUUUCAACUCAUUUAACCUUGAUGAAUAUGAACACUAUGAAAAAGCAGAAAAUGGAGAUUUAAAUUGGAUAAUACCAGACCGAUUUAUUGCCUUCUGUGGACCUCAUUCAAGAUCCAGACUUGAAAGUGGUUACCACCAACAUUCUCCCGAUACUUAUAUUCAAUAUUUUAAGAAUCACAAUGUUACUACCAUUAUUCGUCUGAAUAAAAGGAUGUAUGAUGCCAAACGCUUUACGGAUGCUGGCUUUGAUCACCAUGAUCUUUUCUUUGCGGAUGGCAGUACCCCUACUGAUGCCAUUGUUAAAGAAUUUCUGGAUAUCUGUGAAAAUGCUGAGGGUGCCAUUGCAGUACAUUGUAAAGCUGGCCUUGGUCGCACGGGCACUCUGAUAGCCUGCUACAUCAUGAAGCAUUACAGGAUGACAGCAGCCGAGACCAUUGCGUGGGUCAGGAUCUGCAGGCCUGGCUCAGUGAUUGGGCCUCAGCAGCAGUUUUUGGUGAUGAAGCAAACAAGCCUCUGGCUGGAAGGGGACUAUUUUCGUCAGAAGUUAAAGGGGCAGGAGAAUGGACAGCACAGAGCAGCCUUCUCCAAACUUCUCUCUGGUGUUGAUGACAUUUCCAUAAAUGGGGUCAAGAAUCAAGACCAGCAAGGGCCUGAACCGUACAGCGAUGACGACGAAAUCAAUGGAAUGACACAAGGUGAUAGACUUCGGGCCCUGAAAAGCAGAAGACAAUCAAAAACAAACGCUAUUCCUCUCACAUGCCCCCUAGCUGUGCUGACCUCUGCACUGUGUAGUGUUGUCAUCUGGUGGAUUGUUUGUGACUACAUUCUUCCCACCCUGCUAUUCUGUCUCGAUGGUUUCAGAGCACAGUAGCCAUCAGGACCCCUUGACAGAUAGCUGCUAGUAAUUCUUCAGUCCAGUGUUCAGAGCUGUAAAACAUCUGAACCUAACAUUUCUGGCAGUGCAGGCAUUCCUAAACGAACCACCAGAUCUGCUUCAAGGAAAAGCAGUGUUAAAAGUCUCUCCAUUUCAAGGACUAAAACAGUCUUGCGUUAAGUAAAAACUUAUGACCAGAGGUGAAGGAAGACUCUAGGAACUGAAAACUGCGACAGAAAUUAGCACAAUUUGAAAACAAAACAAAAUUGCAAAAGCCUUAGUUGCUUUCCACCUAAGAAGUUGGCUCAAUGGAGAAAAUGUCCGCUGGAGUUUCAAUAAUGAAUUUGGAGUGUGGGUGCAAGCGAAUGACUCAAAGAAGGGCCCAGCUCUGAAGCUUGACGACAGAAAUGCUGUUGUAAAUCUAGUCUCAGGCGUACAGACCCAAGCCCCCUGGUACCAGAGAGCCGGCCGGUCUGUGGUGCAUGUGUGUCCUUGUGAUGGCAAUCAUUGUAGUCGCUGGCCUUCAGAAGAACUGAGGAUCUGAUGGAGGUUUUUUUAUGUAUUUAUUUUCUGUUCACCUUGUGACCCUGUGUCAAAAUUUAUAAAGUACAAAAGGCAUUACCGAAAUGGUACUUCCUGUAAUUUGAUACUAUCUGGCUUAAUCGUCUUCACUUGACUCUUUGUAAUACUGUUGUAAUGUUAACUCUGUUAAGUACCCAAGCUGCUUGUCUUCCACCAAAGAGUGCUUUAUUAACAGGAAUCUGUGAAAACUACAUUUAAACACUGUUGCAUGUUGUAAUACCAGGUGGUACCUUGGUAACCUAAAACUUGCAAGAGAAUAUUAAUGGUAAAAGAAGACUCAGGAGGAGAAGCUGACUUCAGAGUUGGAAGAUGUUCCAGUCAUUUCUUUCUCUGUCCUUAAGGGACAGAAGAACUGCGAGGUUGCCCAUUGUUUGGUUGCCAGUCAUACAAAUUAGAAUCAUAUUUCCUUCCAUGCCUGGAAAAAACACACUGUUGGUUUUUCCCCUUGGAAACCGCAAUUCCAAAUAAUGUUGGCUUAAAAGAAAAAAAGUUAACACUUUUUUAGAGUCCUUCUCUGUAACAUUGGGAUUUUCUUCCUCCUGAGAUCAGCCGAAGGCCAUUGAUGUGGCCUGCGAUCUCAGUGGCAGCGAUCUGCUUCUGGACCUCACUGUUGCCUUUGGUUAGGGAACACAACUAGUAACUCUGCAGAGUGCCUUGUCCCACAGCCGUACUGAAACACAGCAGAGUCUGUGCCAUGAAGCAAUUAUAGAAACAGAGUUGAUUUGCUGCUUAAAAAAAAAAAUGGGGCCCCAAAUAAAAGACUAUUUAGUACCCACCUCAGUUCCUUCCAUAAGAAGUGGGUGGUUUAAUGAUUGUUAACCCAUGUUUGCCUGUGCUGGGAGCAUGGAGGGCCAAGAGGUUGACAGGCAGUGGGAACCAAAUGCCCUCCUAAGCCACAAGGCGUGCCCCAGAUCAGCAGGCAAUUGCCAUUUUAAGAAGCUGCCCUUUUCACAAAACUGCAAGGAAUAAAAGCAGUUGGAAUAAACAGGUUAAUGUAUUUAAUGCAAAAAGUAAUUGAAAGGCAGUGCCUCCAUUUUGGUGUGCUUUAUCGGGAAGAAAGUAUGAAAUUGACCGGCGUCAGGGGAGAUGGAAGAUGCCGUUGUCUCAGCCAAACGGGCGACUCUUUCCCCACCAGGCACUACGGGGUGGGGUCAGGCCAGCCUUUAAACACUGGGGACUGGAUCACAGAGAAACAGUGGUGUUCUGUCCCUGGAAAUGAAUAGGCACAAAGACCCACUUGCCUGUGGGAAGACCACUCUUCAAUAAGAUUUGGGUGGCAGAAGGAACAUUCCUUUUGCUGUUUUGAGCUGAGACAAUAUAAAUAUUCAAACCGUGCCAUGCACAAAGCAUUGAAUUCUCAGGGCACCUCUUCUUCCCCUUACCCUUUUUAAGGCCAUCCCCCCCAUAAAUAAUAAUCCAGGUAGUUGUAAAAAUUGCGCUUCUUUCUGAACCCUUCUUAGUUUGGCUUUUCAUCCCAUCAGAACAAGUAAACAUGCAGCCGCCACGGCUCUUGUGAGUACUGUCUUCCUCCCGGUGAACAAGCCUCCUGGUGUUUCGUCCAAGAAAAGGAAGGGCGUCAGCGGAACUACAGUCCUUUUUCAUUUUAUAAACUGCCUCUUCAUGUCGCCUGCUCAAGUUUCCAGCUACAAUUGCUAUCACUGUGGCUCUUUGUAAAAACCCUUCUAUUUAACUGCCUCACUGAAAUUAGUCAUAGGAAGCUUGUGAUUUGGUGAGGAAGCAUUCCUUAUAAUAACCAAAUGACUUGGGAUGGUUUGCAUAGCAACAGUGUUAUACUUAUGGGGACCACAUCUCUGGAAUCCAGGAAGUCUCUGGCUUUGAGGGAUGGAAAGUUCUUCCUGCUAUGAAUGAGAAUGGACUCUUCCCUUACCCUCAACUGAAACCACAAACACCCAGAAUCUUCUGGGAUUCUGACUUACAGUCCUUGUUAUAGAAGACGUUGUUGCUGUGGAAUAUGAAACUGUGUGUGUCAGAUGGAGAGAUUCCCUUAAGAGCCUUAAAUAGCCCUGAAAGUACACCAGGACAGUUUGCAAAUGGAAUUAUAAUUAGAAGUGAAUAUUUUUAAGUGCCCUUGAAGCUUUCUGGGGACUCAAAAUUAUCAAGAGUCAGGCACAGUCCGGAGGAAGAGCGUCUGCAAAACUGGGUUCCUAGAAGUACGGAUGGAUGUCGCUUUUUGUAGAACUUGGCAGGGAGCAGCACCUUGUGAGAGCAGGUGGCCUGACGUGGCCAAUGCUUCCUGGCAGCACGAGGCUCUGCCAGCCUCCAGAAUUCCCCUGUUCUGAGCUUGAUGCCCUUGGCCUGUCCUUUACCCACUUCCUCCCCUCCCCCUAGCCCUCUCACAAGGGUGAUUGCUACCUCUCUCUUUUCUUGGGCCGAGCAAAUUUUAGAGGAGUUCCCAAGCUUUGUCAUGAGGCCAGUGUGCGGAUGGCCUGGGCUUGUGUGUGGCCCGAGGGCUCUUCUGGGGCCUUCCCUCUUCCCAGUCACCUUCGGAGCCACAGGAGCCACGCACUCAUUGGAUGUCUGUUCUUAACAUAGGUCAACUGCUUCUCUUUCUACAUUUUAAAAAAUCGUUGUAUUUUAGAAAGCAGUGCUCAUCAAAAGCAACUUUUAAAACCUAUUUUAUCAUUCCUUUAAUAGUUAUCUCCCGCUGAAACUGCCCUGGGGAGGCUAGCUGCUGCUCUUCCAUUCUCCACAUCAGGGUAUUCUCCACAUCACUGAGUGGAGAUGCGUCCAGAUGUGUUUAAAGACUGGACAAUUCACCUAUACUGUGUAGGAAAUUACCUCCUUAAUUACCUGGUAGAAUUGUUAGCAGACAUGUUCAUCUGAUGGUAGUACUGCAGUUUUCUAUUAAUAAUUUGCAGACUUUUAUCUAACCUGCACUCAUGUACAGAUUAUUAAAAGUUUUGAAAUGUAACUGAUCAGUAUUGAUCAGUCAUUGUCUUGAUUUUUUUUUUUUUUUUACAGUGUAUAUUUCUAAUCAUGUUUUUUAAAGCCAAGAGAACUGGUUGAAUGAAUGUUUAUUUUCCUGAAGGUAUUUUUAAGAUAAAGCUUCCUAAUGGCCUGUAAACUUUGCAUAUAUAGGUAGUUUGAUACAUACUGUCACAUUUGAAAAUCUUGUGAGUUGUAACUGGUUUUAUACAAAAUAUCAAACAAUGGAAAUUGUAUAAUUAUAAUCAUGUAAUUAAAAGUAUUAACCAAA